GACGAACGCUGGCGGCGUGCUUAACACAUGCAAGUCGAACGAAGUGGCGAACGGGUGAGUAACGCGUAAUCAACCUGCCCUUCAGAGGGGGACAACAGUUGGAAACGACUGCUAAUACCGCAUACUGAAGGAGGGGAUUGCGUCUGAUUAGCUAGGUGGAGGGGUAACGGCCCCCCAAGGCGAUGAUCAGUAGCCGGUCUGAGAGGAUGAACGGCCACAUUGGGACUGAGACACGGCCCAGACUACUACGGGAGGCAGCAGUGGGGAAUCUUCCGCAAUGGACGAAAGUCUGACGGAGCAACGCCGCGUGAGUGAUGACGGCCUUCGGGUUGUAAAGCUCUGUUAAUCGGGACGCGGUACCUGUAUAAGAAGCACCGGCUAACUACGUGCCAGCCGCCGCGGUAAUAC
rnacentral:rRNA from 1 species